rnacentral:rRNA from 1 species
GAUGAACGCUGGCGGCGUGCCUAAUACAUGCAAGUCGAGCGAACGGACGAGGAGCUUGCUUCUCUGAUGUUAGCGGCGGACGGGUGAGUAACACGUGGAUAACCUACCUAUAAGACUGGGAUAACUUCGGGAAACCGGAGCUAAUACCGGAUAAUAUUUUGAACCGCAUGGUUCAAAAGUGAAAGACGGUCUUGCUGUCACUUAUAGAUGGAUCCGCGCUGCAUUAGCUAGUUGGUAAGGUAACGGCUUACCAAGGCAACGAUGCAUAGCCGACCUGAGAGGGUGAUCGGCCACACUGGAUCUGAGACACGGUCCAGACUCCUACGGGAGGCAGCAGUAGGGAAUCUUCCGCAAUGGGCGAAAGCCUGACGGAGCAACGCCGCGUGAGUGAUGAAGGUCUUCGGAUCGUAAAACUCUGUUAUUAGGGAAGAACAUAUGUGUAAGUAACUGUGCACAUCUUGACGGUACCUAAUCAGAAAGCCACGGCUAACUACGUG